rnacentral:rRNA from 1 species
AGUGAACGCUGGCGGUAGGCCUAACACAUGCAAGUCGAACGGCCGCACAGUAAGAGCUUGCUCUUACGGGUGGCGAGUGGCGGACGGGUGAGGAAUACAUCGGAAUCUACUUUUUCGUGGGGGAUAACGUAGGGAAACUUACGCUAAUACCGCAUACGACCUACGGGUGAAAGCAGGGGAUCUUCGGACCUUGCGCGAUUCAAUGAGCCGAUGUCGGAUUAGCUAGUUGGCGUGGUAAAGGCCCACCAAGGCGACGAUCCGUAGCAGGUCUGAGAGGAUGAUCAGCCACACUGGAACUGAGACACGGUCCAGACUCCUACGGGAGGCAGCAGUGGGGAAUAUUGGACAAUGGGCGCAAGCCUGAUCCAGCCAUACCGCGUGGGUGAAGAAGGCCUUCGGGUUGUAAAGCCCUUUUGUUGGGAAAGAAAAGCAGCAGGUUAAUACCCCGCUGUUCUGACGGUACCCAAAGAAUAAGCACCGGCUAACUUCGUG